rnacentral:rRNA from 1 species
AUAAGAGGUCCCGCCUGCCCUGUGACGAAAAGUUUAACGGCCGCGGUAUUUUGACCGUGCGAAGGUAGCGUAAUCACUUGUCUUUUAAAUAAGGACCAGUAUGAAUGGCAUAACGAGGGCUAAGCUGUCUCCUUUUUCUAGUCAAUGAAAUUGAUCUGCCCGUGCAGAAGCGGACAUAUAUACAUAAGACGAGAAGACCCUAUGGAGCUUCAGACACCAGGACAGCCUACGUUAAACCCCCUAAAUAAACAGGAAUGAACCAAAUAGUCCCUGCCCGCAUGUCUUUGGUUGGGGCGACCGCGGAGUAAAAAGAAACCCCCACGUGGAAAGGGCACACCCCUGAGGCCAGAGCCACAGCUCAAGCAAACAGAAUAUCUGACCUACAAGAUCCGGCAAUGCCGAUCAACGGACCCAGUUACCCUAGGGAUAACAGCGCAAUCCCCUUUUAGAGCCCAUAUCGACAAGGGGGUUUACGACCUCGAUGUUGGAUCAGGACUUCCUAAUGGUGCAGCCGCUAUUAAGGGUUCGUUUGUUCAACGAUUAAAGUCC